ACUUCGGUAAUGACGUUAGGAAAGCGAGCGGCGGAUGGGUGAGUAACACGUGGGGAACCUGCCCCAUAGUCUGGGAUACCACUUGGAAACAGGUGCUAAUACCGGAUAAGAAAGCAGAUCGCAUGAUCAGCUUUUAAAAGGCGGCGUAAGCUGUCGCUAUGGGAUGGCCCCGCGGUGCAUUAGCUAGUUGGUAAGGUAAAGGCUUACCAAGGCGAUGAUGCAUAGCCGAGUUGAGAGACUGAUCGGCCACAUUGGGACUGAGACACGGCCCAAACUCCUACGGGAGGCAGCAGUAGGGAAUCUUCCACAAUGGACGCAAGUCUGAUGGAGCAACGCCGCGUGAGUGAAGAAGGUUUUCGGAUCGUAAAGCUCUGUUGUUGGUGAAGAAGGAUAGAGGUAGUAACUGGCCUUUAUUUGACGGUAAUCAACCAGAAAGUCACGGCUAACUACGUGCCAGCAGCCGCGGUAAUACGUAGGUGGCAAGCGUUGUCCGGAUUUAUUGGGCGUAAAGCGAGCGCAGGCGGAAGAAUAAGUCUGAUGUGAAAGCCCUCGGCUUAACCGAGGAACUGCAUCGGAAACUGUUUUUCUUGAGUGCAGAAGAGGAGAGUGGAACUCCAUGUGUAGCGGUGGAAUGCGUAGAUAUAUGGAAGAACACCAGUGGCGAAGGCGGCUCUC
rnacentral:rRNA from 1 species